AGCAGCCGCGGUAAUUCCAGCUCCAAUAGCGUAUAUUAAAGUUGUUGCAGUUAAAAAGCUCGUAGUUGAAUUUCGGGAUCAAUUUAUCGGUCGUGCCUAUGGUAUGAACUGGUACAAUUGGUUUCUCCCUUCUGACGAAGCAUGAUGUCAUUAAUUUGGUGUCGUGGGGAAUCAGGACUGUUACUUUGAAAAAAUUAGAGUGUUUAAAGCAAGCAUUAGCUUGAAUAAAUUAGCAUGGAAUAAUGAAAUAGGACGUUUGAUCCUAUUUCGUUGGUUUCUAGGAUCGACGUAAUGAUUAAUAGGGAUAGUUGGGGGCAUUAGUAUUCAAUUGUCAGAGGUGAAAUUCUUGGAUUUAUUGAAGACUAACUACUGCGAAAGCAUUUGCCAAGGAUGUUUUCAUUAAUCAAGAACGAAAGUUAGGGGAUCGAAGGCGAUCAGAUACCGUCGUAGUCUUAACCAUAAACUAUGCCGACUAGGGAUCGGAUGAUGUUAAUUUUUUAAUGACUCA
rnacentral:rRNA from 1 species